rnacentral:rRNA from 1 species
CCUACGGGAGGCAGCAGUGGGGAAUAUUGGUCAAUGGGCGGAAGCCUGAACCAGCGACGCCGCGUGAGGGAAGAAGGAACUCGGUAUGUUAAGCUCUAUUAGUAGGGAAGAAAAAAAUGACGCUACCUCACUAAUAAGCCUCGGCUAACUACGUGCCAGCACCCGCGGUAAUACGUAGGCGGCAAGCAUUCUCCGGAUGUACUGGGUGUCAAGGGUGCGUAGGCGGCGAGGCAAGUCAGAGGUGAAAUGAGAGGGCCUAACCCCCGGACUGCUUUGGAAACUGUAUGGCUGGAGUGCAGGAGAGGUAAGUGGAAUGCAUGGUGUAGCGGUGAAAUGCGUAGAUAUUAGGAAGAACACCAGUGGCGAAGGCGGCUUACUGGACUGUAACUGACGUUGAGGCACGAAAGCGUGGGGAGCAAACAGGAUUAGAUACCCCAGUAGUC